GACGUAGGGCGCGAGCGUUGUCCGGAAUUAUUGGGCGUAAAGAGCUCGUAGGCGGUUUGUCGCGUCUGCUGUGAAGACUCGGGGCUUAACCCCGGGCCUGCAGUGGGUACGGGCAGACUAGAGUGCGGUAGGGGAGACUGGAAUUCCUGGUGUAGCGGUGAAAUGCGUAGAUAUCGAGAGGAACACCUGCGGCGAAGGCGGGUUGCUGGGCUGACACUGACGCUGAAGCGCGAAAGCUAGGGGAGCGAACGGG
rnacentral:rRNA from 1 species